rnacentral:piRNA from 1 species
AGCACAAAACUUUGAGUGUUCUUUCCCUG